ACGAUCUGUCAAGUCAGAAAUUUAUGAUGUUUGUUUACCAAGUUGCAUCAAAGACCAACACGAGAAAUUAAGUCGCCCUUUUGCCGACCGGUCUUCAGGCAUAAUCAGGCAUUUUGUGCGAUAACAACGUAAACUAAGAGGACGAGCCCGUUGCAACGUUGAAAAUUUCAACGAGUCGAAAUCCGACACUACCUCGUCGCACUCAAAAGAACCGGAUUAUGAUGCUACGCUGGAAACGGACCGCGGCAAGCGUUAAAUUUUUUUGCUGAAACGGACGGAGAUUUUGUCCAACUCUUGAUCCUACUUCAUGCUGUCGCCCCCGCCAAAGGAAUCAUCAAGCAGCCCACCAGCCAAUGCACAAUGGUCCCAGAGUCAAAUCUGGCGAGACAAAAAUGUUUGCGCCAAAACUAUUAGUUUUAGAUAUAGUGUCUUUGGGAAAAAAAAUCAUAUUUUUUGACGAUUUUUUUCCAUGUACUGAAAUCAGGGUGGUACCUAUAUUUCAGAAGUUCAUAUUGCCCGUUGCAUCAAUUUUUAGACUCUGGCGCAACUUCGUUUUGCUUCGAAUUUUUAGCGUGCACACCAAUACAUUCAAACUAUCUUCGUAAUUGUUUUUGUUGUUGUUAUUUAUCGAACACACAUGUUUUUGUUUACUCAAAUAAACAAUAAACAGUGUCAAUUCAUUUGUGUGUGUGACACGGGAAAAAUAUUCACGCAAAUAAUUUUCGCGCAGGGGUCUAAUAAGGCGGAAUCUGCGCAAUAAUAUCAACUUUUUAUUUUUUUGGUAAAGACUUGUGCACCCAAGUAACACCAAGCAUUACAAUAUUGCACAUAUAUCAAUCACAAAUCGGCAUGCUAAAUGCUAAUUGCAUUAGAUCUGUUUUAACGAUGUGUUGUUGCAUUUAUUUAUCAACUGUCAGACAACGAUACUCUAAAUCAGCAGUACGAAUGCAGCGAUGCAUUACUGGUGCUUUAUUUCAACAUGCCAAAGUAAUGAACCAUUAAUUCGGUCUUAUAAUUGCCCUUUUCCACUUUAAGUCAACUUUUAGGGCUGUGUUUUUUACAUGCAUAUAUAGCUUCAUGGUUACUUGGGCAAUGUUCCACAAAGUUGUAGAGCAACUAAUUUUGAGCAACUUUGCCGAAGAAACCAUUUUUCUAUCACUUAUAGUUCACAAGUUAUGAGCUUUUUAAUAAAUACGUUAGGGCGGUCCCUAAAAAUCGGUAUUCUUCACAUAACUUUUUAUACAUUCAUUUCUCGCAUAAACUUUGUUCCGAGCACUUUUGAAGACGCACAUUUUUGUUAAAGAACCAUGGAUCUAUCUCUUAUAACAAAAAAGUUAUUCGAGUUUUUGUAUGAAAAACAUGUUUUUUUCAUAUGCGUAUAUUUCAAAAUGGAGCAAACCGAUUUUCAAUCUAUUGGUUCUAUUCGAAAGCUCGCACUUUUCUGCGUUUGUUGAGUACGGCCCUGCCGUACCUGCGCACCUUCCCAUCCAACACUUCUAUACACAGGUAAGGUACACAACCUGCUCCCCACGUACGUUGGAGAGAAACGUCACGGGCAGACCGAUUGUACCCAGAAGAGAAAGAACAACUAGUGACCAUUCCCACGUUUAUUUGCUAAAUUAAGUUAGUUCCUAAAUAUUGAAUACUAAAAGCGUUUCUAAAGUGAACUCAACCCAAUUAUUAGUGAGAACCUAAUUGGUAAAUUGUGCUAAAAUAUCUAUGAAACUAUGCUAUUCUAAUAACAGAAAAUUUGCAGUAUUCCCUACAAUCUAGUGAACUAAUAAUAACCUACAAUUUGUUUACAUCUUAAUCCUACAUGCGAAGGUAAAUUUCAUAGUCUAAAUAUUACAUAAAUACUUAAAUCUAGAUUGUUUUAGUACGGUAAAGGACUAGAACUAUAGGUGAAUAUUUCCAUAAUAGCUAGUACGAGCCAGAACGAGUGAUAUUAGUUCGACCAUUGUGAACCUGAUUGUGGUGUUUUCGUCCAUCCAUUUUCGGCUAAAUAAGUUCCCUUUUUUUUUUUCAAUUUGUCGAAAUUUGCAAAUCUGAUUAAAACGUGCUUCCGUUUCAAGAUUAGAAUACUGAAUGAAAUCCUAUUACUUCACUAGUCUUUUUUUGUCAUGUCACGUGCCUACUUCGAUCGAAUUUCAUUUUUUUUAAAUUCAUAUAUUCAAAAGAUUCAAAUGCGCUAUAAUAGCUAUAAUUUAUUAUAGUGGUUCGAGUACUGGCUGAGUAUUAUGGGAUGAUAUCAUAUUUCAAACUGCAUGAAUAACAUCGCAGUUGCCGUUUACACAGUGGUCAUACUUCAAUUUUUUCUUUUUUUUAAUUGUGAAUUAUUAACCAAAUGUCUAAAUUAUUCUUUUAUUGGUUUUGUAAAUAUUCUUGAUCGGUAUUACCAAUAAUUCGAUAUAAAUUCAUUCCCGAUCACUACAUCUCCCUUCUCCUGUACUCUUUAUUGGGCGCACCUUCGAAGCGCUGUCAUUUUAGUUAGUCACUCUUUUUCGUAUCGGUCCUUUUUUUUUUUGCUGUCAAUUUGGUUGCUGUAUUUCGGUUUGACGUAUGACAAUUAAAAAAAAUAGCUGCACUAUCACCGCACUAAAUUUGGUCACCUGUCAGUAACUGUUAUCGUAGCAUGUUUAGUAGCGACCGGUAAAGUGUCAAGUGAUGAUACUGCACUACCAAACGACUCGCGCCCGUUUAUCUUCACUCAGCGAACUGGACUAUCGAAAUUCACAACUGGCGCCUUAUGAAUCUUCGAUUGAUUAUUCCACCAACAAUGCUUCUUAUACGCAGUUACCUUCCCGAGUAUUCAAGCGUCGAUGGACGUGUGGUCUACAUACCGGCCUCCCAACCCCGACGUUCAUGGUUCGAACCUAGUCUGCCGCACUUUUUUCAAAUGAAAAUCGUCAUUCAUAAGGCAACAUACUGAAAUUCAUACCGAUUCCUUGAGGCAAAUUUUCAUAAAGCCUAGUACGCAGUUCUCAAGGAAAAAGGUCAAGGAAAAUUUGAUCAAAUUACCAAAGUAAAUUUGACAAUUGAUGAACAUAAUUGAAAAAGUAGGCGGAAAAAAAAGUUUUGUAUUUAUUGACAUCAGUAUUUCUAUGUGGCGAAAUGUCAUCAAACAGGACCCGCAGUAUAGCGUACUGAACACGACGAGCACGUCGCUCAAAAUUUGGUCAAGUUUAUCAAAUAUAUAACCGGACAGAGACAGCGAUAAGGCUUU